rnacentral:lncRNA from 1 species
AAAAACGCAAGUACUGCAGUACUUUUCUUAGGGAAAACAGAUAAAAUGCUGUGCUCUUCUUAAGAAAGUUCAGCUGCGUCCAUACAUGGAGUUCAAGUGCAUGUCAAAGAACAUGCCCAUGUGCACCUGGCCACGCUAUGUUCCUGAAAGUUGACCAAGCCCAUGACGGAUCAUUACAACAGCAGCUGGAUCAGACAUCCAGUCUUUCAGUCUAUGGCAAUUUACUCUUCAGGCUCUCUUCCCCUGAAGAAAGCAUCAGAUGGCCCAUUAUUGACACAAAACCUUACAGAUGUGACAACAGAUCUGCGU